rnacentral:tRNA from 1 species
GCCUGGCUGGCUCAGUUGGUAGAGCAUGUGACUCUUGAUCACAGGGCUGUGGUUCCAGCCCCACAUGUGGCA